rnacentral:pre_miRNA from 1 species
CUUAUACUCCCUCCAUCCCAAAAUUCUUGUCUUAGAUUUGUCUAAAUACGGAUGUAUCAAGUCAUGUUUUAGUAUUAGAUACAUUCGUAUCUAGAUAAAUCUAAGACAAGAAUUUUGGGGCGGAGGGAGUAUUUG